rnacentral:lncRNA from 1 species
CGCGGGCCCAUGGAGUGUUACUACAUUGUCAUCAGCUCCACGCGCCUCAGCAACGGGCACUUUCGCAACAUCAAGGGAGUUUUCCGAGGCCCUCUCGGCAAGAACGGGAACAAAACUCUGUACUUAUCUAGUUAUCAGGCUGUGGAAUUACAUAUGGCCUCUGCCUGA